AAAAAGACAAACCCUGGUUUCUGUGCCCAACGUUUGACCGUCUGUCUUAUUUAAAAAAAUUAUGAAAAAAAUUGAAAAGACAAGUCACGCAUAAAAUAUUAAUCAUGUUUUAUCAUCUAACAACAACAAAAAUACGAAUUAUAAAAAAUUUUAUAUAAGACGGACAAUCAAAAUUGGACACAGAAACUCAGGGUUUGUCUUUUU
rnacentral:pre_miRNA from 1 species